rnacentral:rRNA from 1 species
UACAGAGGUCCCGAGCGUUGUUCGGAUUCACUGGGCGUAAAGGGUGCGUAGGUGGUGGGGUAAGUCUGAUGUGAAAUCUCUGAGCUCAACUCAGAAAUUGCAUUAGAAACUACCUUGCUAGAGGAUUGGAGGGGGGACUGGAAUUCUCGGUGUGAGCAGUGAAAUGCGUAGAUAUCGGGAAGGAACACCAGUGGCGAAGGCGGCUUUCUGGUCUGCUCUUGACGCUGAGGCGCGAAAGCUAGGGUAGCAAACGGG